rnacentral:rRNA from 1 species
AACGAACGCUGGCGGCGUGCUUAACACAUGCAAGUCGAACGCAUUGAGCCUUUCGGGGCGAAAGUGAGUGGCAGACGGGUGAGGAACACGUGGGAACAUACCUUGUAGUGGGGGAUAACGAUUGGAAACGAUCGCUAAUACCGCAUAAGCCCUAAGGGGGAAAGAAGCGAUUCGCUAUAAGAGUGGCCCGCGUUAGAUUAGGUAGUUGGUGGGGUAAAGGCCUACCAAGCCUGUGAUCUAUAGCUGAUUUGGGAGGAUGAACAGCCACACUGGGACUGAGACACGGCCCAGACUCCUACGGGAGGCAGCAGUGGGGAAUAUUGGACAAUGGGGGAAACCCUGAUCCAGCAACGCCGCGUGAAUGAUGAAGGCCUUCGGGUUGUAAAGUUCUUUUACCUGAGAAGAUAAUGACGGUAUCAGGGGAAAAAGCACCGGCUAACUUCGUGCCAGCCGCCGCCGUAA